UUUAUUUGGGCAGAUCCUGGAGAUAGGGAGGGGGAGGUUGUGGCUGCGGGCAAUGGCAAACACAACCAACAGAGGUUGCUCGUGUAUUUUUUUAAGUUAUUUUCCCAAUACCAGAUCAGUUAGCUGAAGUCGAAGAGAACCUUGAAGAUUCAGAUUACAACUGAAAAGUUGUACCUUACUUGAAUAUUAAUUCUUAAUUUUUCAUGUGCAAGGCAUGGUGCUCUCCGCUGGUUCUACUCCCUGGUUGAACAAGCUCCUGAUCCAUGUUACAAGACAGGUAUAAUUGUUUUUUUACAAGAUAGGUAGAACCGUUUUAUUUUUGCCUCCUUCUCAGUUUACUUUUGAAUAAGCACAUCAGUUAAGAAUCCAUGCCGUAAAAAUUUAGUGUCUCCUGGACUACAUUGUUCAAAUAUCAAUAGGUAUUAUUGUGAUGCAGUAUGGAAAUAAUUCGAAUAAACAUAUGAGGUUAAUUAUAUUUCGAAUGUGUUACUUACAGAUCAAAAAUACGGACACACUAAAUUCUAAACCAGCAAGUACAUGUUGCACAGAUUCUAAUCUAUUAUACUUUAGCAUUGCCGCCAAUACCGUGAGUGUCAGUAUGACAUAUUUUAUGCUUCACUUUAGGUAUCUCUCUGGUACGUAAAAUUGGAUUUCCCUUCUCUCUAAAAAAAUGGAUUUCCCUAAAAGAAGCAAAAUCACAUGAUGCUUAGAGGAUCCCCGAUAAUCCAUCCUAAGAGGGUGUUACUAGGGCUACUCCAACAAAAAAAUCAAUUAUUGGGGAAGGUCAUGUAGGGAUCGUUGUUAGUGGGUAACUAUUUCGUUCGUUUUCUCUCCUCAACAUGACCAUGAGCUCGGCGUAAUCUGGUAUGGUAAUGAGCUCGAAGUAGGUUGCCAUGGCUACGAGUUCAAGGAAGGUUAGCAUGGUGCCGCUUAGUGACCUUCAGUUCAAGCGCGUGGGGUAGGAAGAUGCUAUGAUCUCAAGGUCGGACAACGCAUGUGGGCAGGAGGUGCUAGCUCAAUCUAACACGGUUCGUGCAGAACGGUGUGUGCAGAGCGCGCUGACGCUCAAUAUAGGGUGAUGAUGCUCUAGGAGGGGGUGGCUUGUGGACGAGCGCGACAUGCUUGGGGCGUAGGCGGGUGACCGAUGAUGAUGUUCUGAUGGCUGGAGCGCACGCGGGCGGUGAACAACCAGCUUAUGGUGUGAGGCCCACACAUGCUUGUGAGAAGGAACAAUAGUGGUUGGGAUUCAGGUGGAUUGUUGGGAGGGGGUCCAUUAUCCCCUCUGGGUCUGUAGUUGUAGUAGCAAGAUCAGGGGCUGGGCGUGGACACCUUCGGCCACGAUAUAAAGGUGAUGCUGGUGAGAGCCAAAUUAGAUAAGAUCCACCACUCGCCUCACAACGAUCAGGGGCAAAUACUACUCCCUCUGUUCCGAAUUACUUGUCUUGGAUUUGUCUAGAUACGGAUGUAUCUAGACUCAUUUUAGUGCUAGAUAUCUCCGUAUCUAGACAAAUCCAAGACAAGUAAUUUGGAACGGAGGGAGUACAUCUCUAAUACUGGUUGGAAAUUGUGAGUUUUAGAUUUAUUAAAUCUGGUGGUGUGUUGGUCCCUGUUGUGAUUUGAGGAGAAGGUUGUGGUACGGGCGUUGUACAGGCAGUAGGCACAAACGGGAGAUGAUGAAUGUGGCGUUUUACUGGAGAUACAAACGGGAGAUGCUGAAUGACGGGAGAUGAUGAAAGACGCUGUACAGGUAGUGGGCACAAAAUGUGAUUCGAUCUGUUAUAGAGUGUACUCCAUAUGAACAUGAGUCGUUAGCUAUCUGAAAAACAAAUAAAAAAAGUGUGCACUCAUGUUUAGUUACAUAAGAUAAAUCGAGAUCCCUCUGCCCCAUUCUUCGUCAGGGCUUUGUUUCCCCUUUCCGUAUUACAUUUCAGAUGUGACUUUUGCCGUGUUGCUCCCCUUCUUAUACUGUUGUUUAUUGUACUUUUUGUGUGAUUUUCUAUAUCAUUAGUUCUGAUUGCACUAAACCUUUCUUUGCAUGCAUGCCAAUAUUUUUUUUAGAUUCCAUCUUUGUAGGGUGAACUAUUCCCUUUUCUCUCCAGGUGAAUAGCAAUGAAUUUCAGAGAUAAAGAUUGAGCUUUGAGGAAACAGGCCUUGACAAGGUGUGUGCAUAUUUUUGUAGUCUAAUGUAACUUGAAUGCCCUAUCCGAUUUUGAGCAUCUCCAUAACUUUUGCAUGCCACUUUGAGACUAUUUCCCUGAUUCCAGUGAAGUGUAUAUGUAACCGUUUGUUACUAACAAUUAUAGAAUGUACUCCAUACAAUACAAAAUUUCAGUGCUUCUGUGAUUCGAUCUGUUAGAAAGAGGUAACAGCUCGGCAUGAGUCAUUAGCUAUCUCAAAAACAAAUAAAAAAAGAAAGCGCUUGUGGUGUACUCAUUUAUUAUGCUUAGUAACAUAAGAUAGCUCAGUUAUCACAAUAAUCACAAUUAGUAGUGCACCCUAUAUUUCUUUUAUUCAAUUGGGCAAUGAAGAUUAAUGUUUCCUUCCCCGGUGAAAACCUAAGCAUUAUGUUCUCAGCACCAUUCUUGUGUACUACUAAGGGAAGGGCUCACCAUAGGAACAAUCAAGUUGUAUAUCACUUUGGGGUUAAUCUAUGUAUAAAAUUCCAUCGUGAUCAAAUAGUAUUUAUGAUAAUAAAAUUACAGGUUAUGUUCUCUGAACUAUACUUGCAUUCUUUUUGGUACUUGAUAUCCUACUAAAGCUUCCAUUGCUUGCUUAAGUUUGGUGUCAAAGACCUAAGGUCUAUGCAGUCAAUGUCAGUGAGUUUCGACUCCAUCCUCUCUCUCCUUUGCGUAGCACCUCCUCCCCUCCUGACUUGCUGCCGCCGCAGUGACUCAGGUUGUUCCUCUCUCCUACCCUCUAGCGACGAUGCCCACGGCAACACGACAAUUGCCCGCCUGCGGUGCCAGCCGCACCACCAGAAGUGGCCCCCGGGAGCCGGUCGAUCCGCCUACGAGGUAAAAGGUUGGAUGGUGCCAUGCCGCCACCUACGGAUGUCUACCUCCAGCCGACCUCCGCCUCACCAAGCUCAUCGUCUUGAUCCGCCUGCUCCUGAUCCGGAUGAUACCGUGGCUCUAACCCUUCCAGCCACCUUAAUUACGUUUACCCUACCUGUUGUUAGAUGUGGAUCUCUUCUCUUCCUUCCUGGUCUUGUGUUCAGUAUGUUCCCAUCUGUCUGUUCUAUGGUGAACUCUGAACACCAUAGUUUAUGCAAAAGAAACAUCUACUAAUUAAUGAAAAUGGUUAUUAAUUAGUUCCUGGUGUAGAUCAAACAAAAAAAUGUUAGUGUAUCAGAUGGGUUUAUGGUUUCAGAUAUCUGGAUUAUUGAAUCAUACUGAGUUUAUAUACAGAUGGAAGCAAUCUUUUGAUGUGUACUCAGAUUUGAUUUUUCUAUUUCCUUUGUUGCAGGAUUGGCUGAAUUAUAGUCGUGAUUUUCUGCUUUUCAGAGCAUUUUGCUGCCGAAUUGAAUACUAUUUGGAAAUUUCUCAUAGUAAUAUUGUUUGUUCCACUCCUUUUAUUAUUCUAUGAAGAGGAAUAAAGAAUCAAAUUGUUGUUUACUUCAGCAAUGUCAUGCCCCUGUCGUCCGGCCUCCGCGCUGGUUUAAGGUAUUUUAUUAUUUUCUGGUGUUCGAUAACAUAAGCAUGGCCGUGGUGUGAUACAACAUGUUAACUUGCUCAGGCGGUCCGCGCUUCUUCCUCUGAAGAAAUAGUUGCCUGUUCUUUUUUUCUCCUUUAGAUGUUCUUGUUUGUUUUGUCACUCCUACAUGCACGUGCUACUAAGAGAUUAUGCAUGGGAUGUGACCGAUCUUACCCUCACUCCUACAUGCACGUGCUACUAAGAGAUUAUGCAUGAGAUGUGAUCGAUCUUACCCGUAUUAUUCUUGUAUUGAUCAGGUGACUGCUUUUUACAAUCUGAAAGCGAAAAGGGAGCUAUACACAACCGCUCCAUAUAUUUUUGGAGAUACGGUACAUAUUAACGGUUCUUACAGUUUGCAACUUCAUGUUACAGCACUUACACAUGCACAUGCAUAAACUGAGACUCAAUCACAUUAGAAUAGGACUACAUUUUUAUUUGCCUAGAUUCGAAGAUGUAGCAAAGACAGUUAAGUAAUACACACGGACAAUUUUCAAUUAUGAUAAUAUUAGGGAAGUAUCAAAGGUGAGGUGUAUUUCGUACAAGGUUUGAUGAGGACAUCAAUACAAUUGUUACACCCACAACUCCUGCUGCUAUAAAUACUGGACCAAUUACUAGAGCUCGCGCACGCCAACUAAAUUACCAGGUACUUUCGUUUCUUGGUAAUGAUUCUAAUGUUCAUGAGAAUAUGAUGCUGCCUAAAUUGGAUACAUUUGUUUUGUUUACAAAUGAAGGGCCUAGCUUGGAGAAGGAUGAACAUUGGAUUAAGAACAAGCAUGAAGAUGAUGGCAUGCGCAAGGGGAACAAGAACGGAGUUACAAGUGAUGAUUUCAGGACUUUGAAGCCACCAUAAUGGGUGCAUGAAGCCUUGGACGAAAUAUACAAGAUGCCACUUCAUAAAUUUCGUCCCGAGGCUAUUAUAGGUGCUGCGUCACCUUAUUAUUGGGCCAGGCCCAUGUAAUUUCGAAAUACAUAAGUAUAGGCUAUUUUUAGAGUCCGUAUGUGUGGGGAAACAAGAGAUAGGGUUGAUUUCGGACCCCUCCACCAAGGGUCACGAAAUUCCCCCCUCUUCCUCCAUAUAUACAGCCCUUAGGGCAUCGUUUAGACUUUGGGUUUUGUUUAGAUUAAAAGUUCGCCAUAGCUGCAACUUCGCAUACUUCGUUUGUGUUCAACGACCAGACAAAGGCGUCACAGAACCCCACCUUGAUCAAUAAAGUUUUCAUCUUAUAUUCGCAAUAUCCAGAUUGCAAUCUUAGUUUCUUGCUUGUUCUUCGUUUGCUCGCAGGAAACAGACCCUCGUGGUCAGGUUGAUCAUGCUCCGGCGUGGUCAAUAACCUCUCGGAGUUGGUUUAGCGAUUGCUAAGGCGCGACGUCCUCGCACGUUCGUAGUCGGAUCGUCAAAGUUGACUUCCACCAAAGCGAAAUCCACCAUCUCAUCGAAAGACGGGACACCUUUGCCUCUAUCAAGUGGUAUCAAAUUUCCAGGUUGCUCGGUGAGAUUUUACAGUUUUUCGUAGUUUAGAUCGAGUCUGUUCUUCAUACCUAUAGUCCACGAAAAAGCCAAAAAAAAUUAGGGUUAGUUUAUCCCAUCCGAACCAAUCUGAGCCUUUGCAUAAUCUUUUCUGUAUUUGCUUUGUUGAAUUUCCGGUUGCAUCGUCGUGUCAAGUUGCUGGUCUUAGCGUCUAGUCUUUUAGAGUUUCGAGUUCUGUUCACAGGUUGUCACGUCGCCGCUGCCAUAUAUCACCACCGCAUCAUCAUCGUCGCUGUUGCCAUAUACCACCACCACAUAUUCACCGCCAAUCCGAAUCCAUAUACGCCACCACAUAUCCGCCGCCAUCACGCCAAUCCGAGUUCACCUACAACAUAUAUCCGCCACCUGUCCGUGUUCCACCAGAUUCAUCUCCGCCACCAGUCCGAGUUCCACCAGAUUCAUCUCCGCCACCAGUCCUAGUCCGAGUCCAGUAAUUGUUGCAUUGUUCUCGAUUUCCAGAUCACGCGAUACUCCGAGUCGUGACAGAGAAGGACUCCCCAACUUCCGAGCCAUCCGCACAAGAAAAAUAGUUCCAAUUUCAAAAAAAAAAGAAAGCUAAGUCCGGAAAAUUCUGCCUAGGCAGUUUUUAGACCAUUUGUAGAUUUUUUCGAAAAAAAUUUGUUGCGGAGCAAAAAAAAAGGAAAAAGAAGUGCAAAAAAAAGGAAAAAAAAUUCAGAGUGUGCUCCUCCCUUGUUUACGUGCCGCGCCGUGAUUUUGUUGGUGUUCUAGGCUCGCGUCUCUAGCACAGUCUAGCCUAGGACCAGCACAGUACCGUCGUUGAGCGUUUAUUCAACUUUAAAUCUCUUAAUUGAUUAUUGCUGACCCUUUUUGCUACCAUAUUAUAAGCCUUCCCAGCUCCACAUACAUCUACGUCGUGCGUUUGACUCUCCCUGGUAAUCGCUCUAUCCAAGCUUUGAGAGUUUUGACUUCAACGGUUGCCGAUCACCGCCUAUUGCUGGGUAAGAACUGGUAAGAAUUUGAGUUUUGCUUGACGGAUUUGUGACACCCACCAGCACCACUUGUUCAUAGUCUGUAGGAUCAUAUUCUUGUGUGUUUCUAUUGCUGCUAACCAUGCCAGGAUCACAAGCCGACGAGAUUGACUGGGAGAAUUUAUCGAACAAGGAGCUUCAUGAUAAGUUUCAGCAAAUGAUGACAGAACAGGUGCAAGAUGUGCUGAACAAUUUUGAAGAAGCCAUGGAGAAGAUCACUGGCCUUGAGAAGACGUUCGAAACAAAGCUCGAUAACAAGUUUAAUGAAUUGCUCGCGUGUCUUCCACCACCACCACCCGCUGCACCUAACGCACCUCUCCAACAACAACAACACCGACUACCUCCACGUCGUGAAACAGACCUUCGCCGAGCGAGCCGUGUUCCUCUUGCGUUUGGCCAAACUGUUGGUGCUGCUGUUGGUACUUCUAUGGCUCCUGCUGCUGAUGCGGAGGAGGAUGAUUAUGUGGGAGAUUAUGAGGAUGAGGUUGAUCAAAAUCAGCACUACGUGCAGCCACCUGCACCACCACCAGCAGGUCGACCUCAGGUAUAUAUUCGUAAUGGUAGGCCUGCACCACCACCUCAGGUACGAGAUGAUGUCCAUAUUCCUAAACUGAAAUUGAAUAUUCCACCAUUUGAGGGUAGAUAUGUUCCUGAUAUAUAUCUUACUUGGGAGUUAGAAACUGAACAACGAUUUACAUGUUUACAAUAUCCUGAGGACAGACGGGUUGCUGCUGCUGUUUGUGCUUUCACUAGUUUUGCAUGUGUAUGGUGGUCUGAACAUUGUAGAUUAUAUCCUAUUCCAACUACUUGGGCUGCUUUGAAAACUGCUAUGCGUACUCGUUGGGUUCCACCAUAUUAUCAACGUGAAUUGCUUCAAAAAUUACAGCGCUUAAGACAAGGAAAAAAUUCUGUAGAAGAAUAUCAUCAGGAAUUACAAACUGGCAUGAUUAGAUGUGGUAUUGUUGAGGAGAAUGAAGCUAUGCUUGCACGUUUUCUGGGUGGAUUAAAUAGAGAGAUUCAGACCAUUCUAGACUAUAAGGAGUAUACUAAUAUCACUCGUUUAUUCCAUCUUGCUUGUAAAGCUGAACGUGAAGUGCAGGAUCGACAAGCAUUGGCGCGAACUAACUUUUCUGCAGGCCGACCUUCAUCAUGGACACUGCGUGCAUCUUCUACUUCAACUGCACCAGCACCUCAGUCACGUGCCUCCUCCAGUCGUGAUACAAAGAAAACAGGCACAACCACCAUUAUCUGCCAAGAGCGCACCUGCUGGGCCUGCACAGAGUUCUUCUUCUUCCAUGGCAUCAACAGGGCACACAAGUGAUAUUAUUUGUCGUCGUUGUAAGGGAGGAGGUCAUUAUGCGAGAGAAUGCAAAUCUCCGCGUGUGAUGAUUGCUACCGCGGAUAGUGGAUAUGAGUCCGCUAGUGACUAUGAUGAGGAGACUUUGGCUCUUAUUACACGUGAAGAACAUGGUGGAGAUGAUUCUGAUCAUGAGACGCAAUACAUGGCUCCUGAAGACGCUGACAGGUAUGAAUGUUUAGUUGCUCAACGUGUUUUGAGUGUGCAGGUCACACAAGCUGAGCAAAAUCAGAGGCACAAUUUGUUCCAUACCAAGGGAGUUGUGAAAGAACGUUCUGUGCGCGUCAUCAUAGAUGGAGGGAGCUGCAACAACUUGGCUAGCAUGGAGAUGGUGGAGAAGCUUUCUCUCACCACAAGACCACAUCCACAUCCUUACUACAUCCAAUGGUUCAACAACAGCGGCAAGGUUAAGGUAACACGUACUAUUCGUGUGCAUUUUAGUAUAUCUACAUAUGCUGAUUAUGUUGAUUGUGAUGUGGUACCUAUGCAAGCAUGUUCCUUAUUACUUGGUAGACCAUGGCAAUUUGAUAAAAAUUCUAUACACCAUGGUAGAAACAAUCACUAUACUCUUGUUCAUAAGGAUAAAAAUAUUACUUUGCUUCCUAUGACUCCUGAUUCUAUUUUGAAAGAUGAUAUUAAUAGAGCUAAUAAAGCAAAACAAGAGAAGAAUAAGAGUGAAAAUCAGAUUGUGGCAAAAGAAUUUGAGCAACAAAUGAAGCCUAAUAAUAAACCAUCUAGUGUUGCUUCUGAAAUUAAAUUGAAAAGUGCAUGUUUAUUUGCCACCAAAUCCGAUAUUGAUGAGCUAGAUUUCAGCAAAUCUGUUUGCUAUGCUUUUGUGUGCAAAGAGGCAUUAUUUUCAUUUGAGGACGUGCCUUCCUCUUUGCCUCCUGCUAUCACUAACAUUUUGCAGGAGUUCGCUAACGUCUUUCCACAAGACGUGCCACCGGGAUUACCACCUAUUCGAGGGAUUGAGCAUCAGAUCGACUUAAUUCCCGGUGCUUCACUGCCAAACCGUGCGCCAUACCGUACCAAUCCAGAGGAGACGAAGGAGAUUAUGCGUCAAGUACAAGAGCUUCUCGACAAAGGUUAUAUACGCGAAUCCCUUAGUCCUUGUGCUGUUCCUAUUAUUCUAGUGCCGAAAAAGGAUGGUAUAUCGCGUAUGUGUGUUGAUUGUAGAGGCAUUAAUAAUAUUACUAUUCGUUAUCGUCAUCCUAUUCCUAGGCUAGAUGAUAUGCUUGAUGAAUUGAGUGGCUCUACAAUAUUCUCCAAAGUUGAUUUGCAUAGUGGAUACCAUCAAAUUCGUAUGAAAUUGGGGGAUGAAUGGAAAACAGCAUUUAAAACUAAGUUUGGAUUAUAUGAGUGGUUAGUCAUGCCUUUCGGGUUAACUAAUGCGCCUAGUACUUUCAUGAGACUAAUGAACGAAGUUUUACGUGCUUUCAUUGGACGAUUUGUGGUAGACUAUUUUGAUGAUAUACUGAUUUAUAGCAGAUCUUUGGAAGAACAUUUGGAACAUUUACGUGCUGUUUUUAUUGCUCUACGUGAUGCAUGUUUGUUUGGUAACCUUGGGAAGUGCACCUUUUGCACUGACCGAGUAUCUUUUCUUGGCUAUGUUGUUACUCCACAGGGAAUUGAAGUUGAUAAAGCCAAGAUUGAAGCUAUUGAGAGUUGGCCGUAGCCCAAAACGGUCACACAAGUGAGGAGUUUUCUUGGCCUCGCUGGAUUCUAUAGGCGUUUUGUGAGAGAUUUCAGCACCAUUGCUCCACCUCUCAAUGAGCUUACAAAGAAAGAUGUGCCUUUUCUUUGGGGUACUGCACAGGAAGAAGCCUUCUCGGUAUUAAAAGAUAAGUUGACACAUGCUCCUUUACUCCAACUUCCUGAUUUUAAUAAGACUUUUGAGCUUGAAUGUGAUGCUAGUGGAAUUGGAUUAGGCGGUGUGUUAUUACAAGAUGGCAAACCUGUUGCAUACUUUUCUGAAAAAUUGAGUGGGCCUAGUUUGAAUUAUUCUACUUAUGAUAAAGAAUUAUAUGCUCUUGUUCGGACUUUAGAAACAUGGCAACAUUAUUUAUGGCCCAAAGAAUUUGUUAUACAUUCUGAUCAUGAAUCUUUGAAACAUAUUAAAAGUCAAGCUAAACUGAAUCAUAGACAUGCUAAAUGGGUUGAAUUCAUUGAGACUUUUCCUUAUGUCAUUAAACACAAGAAGGGAAAAGAAAAUGUUAUUGCUGAUGCAUUGUCUCGCCGCUAUACUAUGCUUUCACAACUUGACUUCAAAAUAUUUGGUUUGGAGACCAUCAAAGAUCAAUAUGUGCAUGAUGCUGAUUUUAAAGAUGUAAUGCAGAAUUGUAAAGAAGGAAGAAUGUGGAACAAGUUCGUCGUUAACGAUGGAUUUGUGUUUCGUGCUAACAAGCUAUGCAUUCCAGCUAGCUCCGUUCGUCUUUUGUUGUUGCAGGAGGCGCAUGGAGGAGGAUUAAUGGGACACUUUGGCGUGAAGAAGACGGAGGACGUACUUGCUACACAUUUCUUUUGGCCAAAGAUGAGACAGGAUGUUGAGCGUUUUAUUGCUUGCUGCACUACAUGUCAAAAAGCUAAGUCACGACUCAAUCCUCAUGGUUUAUAUAUGCCUUUGCCUGUACCUAGUGUUCCUUGGGAGGAUAUAUCUAUGGACUUUGUUUUAGGUUUACCUCGAACAAAGAAGGGGAGGGAUAGCAUAUUUGUUGUCGUGGAUAGAUUCUCGAAAAUGGCACACUUUAUACCAUGUCAUAAAAGCGAUGAUGCUGUUAAUGUUGCUGAUUUGUUCUUUCGUGAAAUUAUUCGCUUGCAUGGUGUGCCAAAUAUUAUUAUUUCAGAUCGUGAUACUAAAUUUCUUAGCCACUUUUGGAGAUGUUUAUGGGCUAAGUUGAGGACUAAACUGCUUUUUAGUACUACUUGUCACCCCCAAACUGAUGGACAAACUGAAGUAGUCAAUAGAACGUUGUCUACUAUGCUUAGGGCUGUUUUGAAGAAUAAUAAGAAAAUGUGGGAGGAAUGCUUGCCUCAUAUUGAAUUUGCUUAUAAUCGUUCAUUGCAUUCUACUACUAAGAUGUGCCCUUUUGAAGUUGUGUAUGGUUUCCUACCUCGUGCACCUAUUGAUUUGUUACCUCUUCCAUCUUCGGAGAAGGUUAAUUUUGAUGCUAAACAACAUGCUGAAUUGAUUUUAAAAAUGCAUGAGUUAACUAAGGAAAACAUUGAGCGUAUGAAUGCUAAAUAUAAACUUGCUGGAGAUAAGGGUAGAAAACAUGUUGUGUUUGCACCUGGAGAUCUUGUUUGGUUACAUUUGCGUAAGGAUAGAUUUCCGGAUUUGCGCAAAUCAAAGUUAAUGCCACGUGCUGAUGGUCCCUUUAAGGUGUUAGAGAAAAUAAAUGAUAAUGCAUAUAAACUUGAACUGCCUGCAGAUUUUAGGGUUAGUCCCACUUUUAACAUUGCAGAUUUGAAGCCUUAUUUGGGCGAGGAAGAUGAACUUCCGUCGAGGACGACUUUAUUUCAAGAAGGGGAGGAUGAUGAGGACAUCAAUACAAUUGUUACACCCACAACCCCUGCUGCUAUAAAUACUGGACCAAUUACUAGAGCUCGCGCACGCCAACUAAAUUACCAGGUACUUUCGUUUCUUGGUAAUGAUUCUAAUGUUCAUGAGAAUAUGAUGCUGCCUAAAUUGGAUACAUUUGUUUUGUUUACAAAUGAAGGGCCUAGCUUGGAGAAGGAUGAACAUUGGAUUAAGAACAAGCAUGGAGAUGAUGGCAUGCGCAAGGGGAACAAGAACGGAGUUACAAGUGAUGAUUUCAGGACUUUGAAGCCACCAUAAUGGGUGCAUGAAGCCUUGGACGAAAUAUACAAGAUGCCACUUCAUAAAUUUCGUCCCGAGGCUAUUAUAGGUGCUGCGUCACCUUAUUAUUGGGCCAGGCCCAUGUAAUUUCGAAAUACAUAAGUAUAGGCUAUUUUUAGAGUCCGUAUGUGUGGGGAAACAAGAGAUAGGGUUGAUUUCGGACCCCUCCACCAAGGGUCACGAAAUUCCCCCCUCUUCCUCCAUAUAUACAGCCCUUAGGGCAUCGUUUAGACUUUGGGUUUUGUUUAGAUUAAAAGUUCGCCAUAGCUGCAACUUCGCGUACUUCGUUUGUGUUCAACGACCAGACAAAGGCGUCACAGAACCCCACCUUGAUCAAUAAAGUUUUCAUCUUAUAUUCGCAAUAUCCAGAUUGCAAUCUUAGUUUCUUGCUUGUUCUUCGUUUGCUCGCAGGAAACGGACCCUCGUGGUCAGGUUGAUCGUGCUCCGGCGUGGUCAAUAACCUCUCAGAGUUGGUUUAGCGAUUGCUAAGGCGCGACGUCCUCACACGUUCGUAGUCGGAUCGUCAAAGUCGACUUCCACCAAAGCGAAAUCCACCAUCUCAUCGAAAGACGGGACACCUUUGCCUCUAUCAAGGUUUCUGCCCAUAUUCAGUAAGAGAAAAUUUUGUUUGAGUUUUAAAACCGUUAUUGUGUAACUUUACAGAUGAUCUAUUUUAUUUCUACCAAGUAGAUACAUCUGCAGUAAAUAAUCCAAUACCAUAGGACGCUUCAGUUCAUUGCCAUUUAGUUCAUUCUUUGUGUAUCUAUUACUCUGUGGAAGAAUAAAACGGGCCUAAUGGAUUUCCCCCUUUUUAUUCACCUCUUUACAGGUUGGAUUCAAUUCAAUUCCUAUAAAUGGCAGGAGAGAUGAAAAUCAAUCAGAUUGUGCACUGCAAGGUUUGCUUCUUAUGCUCGGUGCAGAUGUGAUGUAGUUAGAGAUUAGUUAUUAUGUGCAUCCGCAUUUGUACAUUUUUAAAUGGUAUUUCAUUAGACAUGAGAACAAAUAUAAACUUCCAAGGUUCUUCUAUCAGCAUUGCGACAGUGGGCAGAUUUUCAGCUUUCUUUCUCAAAAUUCUCAUCGCAAUGUUUAUCAGAAUGUCAGAUAUUCCUAUUUGGGGAUAUGUUUUAAAGAGCAAUACUCCUGUUUGUAAAACUGUACUAUUUCCCAGCUCUCGCAAACUGAUGGUGAGUAUGAUGCUACAACCUCUAUAUUUCACCAAACAGGAAUUGUGAAUUUUAACUGGAAAUUUUAAUAGGUUGUAUUCUUUCUCAUUGACAUUUGAUUUCAUUUUGUCACAAAACUAGAAGUU
rnacentral:lncRNA from 1 species